rnacentral:rRNA from 1 species
AUACGGAGGGUGCAAGCGUUAUCCGGAAUCAUUGGGUUUAAAGGGUCCGUAGGCGGACUAAUAAGUCAGGGGUGAAAUCCCACAGCUUAACUGUGGAACUGCCGUUGAUACUGUUAGUCUUGAGUUAUAUGGAAGUAGAUAGAAUGUGUAGUGUAGCGGUGAAAUGCUUAGAGAUUACACAGAAUUCCGAUUGCGAAGGCAGUCUACUACAUAUAUACUGACGCUAAUGGACGAAAGCGUGGGGAGCGAACAGGAUUAGAAACCCUAGUAGUCC